rnacentral:rRNA from 1 species
GACGAACGCUGGCGGCGUGCCUAAUACAUGCAAGUCGAACGCUUUUUCUUUCACCGGAGCUUGCUCCACCGAAAGAAAAAGAGUGGCGAACGGGUGAGUAACACGUGGGUAACCUGCCCAUCAGAAGGGGAUAACACUUGGAAACAGGUGCUAAUACCGUAUAACACUAUUUUCCGCAUGGAAGAAAGUUGAAAGGCGCUUUUGCGUCACUGAUGGAUGGACCCGCGGUGCAUUAGCUAGUUGGUGAGGUAACGGCUCACCAAGGCAACGAUGCAUAGCCGACCUGAGAGGGUGAUCGGCCACACUGGGACUGAGACACGGCCCAGACUCCUACGGGAGGCAGCAGUAGGGAAUCUUCGGCAAUGGACGAAAGUCUGACCGAGCAACGCCGCGUGAGUGAAGAAGGUUUUCGGAUCGUAAAACUCUGUUGUUAGAGAAGAACAAGGAUGAGAGUAAAACGUUCAUCCCUUG